rnacentral:lncRNA from 1 species
CUCUCUUCUGUGGCUUUCCUACGCCCUACCCGAACCUUUGUAAUAGUCCCUUUCUUAAACUUUCCUCAGUCGCCCCCUUCGCACGAGCACGUCACGUGUUUGGUGACUCCUGCCAGGCCUCUGACCGAGCUGGUCCCAAAGUCUUACCUGUCAGGACACAGAAACACAGCAUGGGAAGGGCAUGAGCAGUCCGAUAACGUUCUAGAGGUUAGCUAGAAGGAAGUCCUUCUCCAUCAGUUUUCUGUUCAUGGGGGGAGGGGGGGGCAGGAAAGUCUUUUCCUUAAAUUACUUUUUUUCGAAUAGCUAAUAUAUUCAGAUGGCUCAAAGUCCAAAAAGAUAUAAAAGAAUAUGUGCACUGAAGUCUCCACGACCUGGACGGUUCCAGGCACAGAGUGCUGAGCCCCCUCGCGGGCAGCUCCGGAUGGCGUCCCAUCCCCGGACUGAACAGACCGGGUCUCCCUGCAAUUCCCACCUGUGCUGACUUCUACACAGGAGAUGGCAGCUCAGUGAAGUGGGAAGUCCCGCCUUGGACUCCAAGCCCUCCAGAGUCCCUGCCCUGGAUUCCCACCAAAGCGUCCGGAAAACCCAGCUAGGACUGCUCCUCACAUCCCGGGACCUUCAGCACUUGGCAUCCACAGAAUGGAGGAACGGCAUUUUCCCUUCGUGCGGCAAUGUUCUCUUCACAUUUAAAAAAAAAAAAAAAAAAAAGGCAAGCAAGCUUAACAUUUAGCAGUUUGCAAAUGUUUUGUCCUGUGUGGUCUAUCAAUGCUGUCCUCAAGUGAAAUCUCCACACAGAAAGGAUCACUUAGCAGCCCAGGUAUUUACUGCGUCCUUGAUGCAUACGCCCCUCUGCUCCUCUCCCCCCACCCCCCUGCAACAAGUGCUGGGACGGGCAGACAAGCAUCCUUGCCUUGUGGGAGGCUGCCACCAGAGCCCACAGGAAACAAGCUCGAAGAAGGGGCAAACUGAGCACACACACGACUGUUCCCGCUGCAGCUACACGCGGUCAGCUGUAACACUCGGUGGACUUGCACUUUACUCCGUGGACUCACUUGCCAAGGAAAGCAAGUUUUAUCUAAGGCCAGAUAAAGUGGGCAAGACUGCACAUCUCAGAUCUGUCCAGCUUCGAGUCACAGUGAAGCCAGAGGACGUGCACUUUGAGGUGGGUGGGCCUCUCUUCCUUGUACUUGGCAUCUUUACUGCCUUGUGGACUCAUGUGGCUGAUUGCGAUACAGUUAAGAAAUAUAUAUUUGGUCUUUGUCCCCAGUUCCUGGCACAUGGCUCCCGAGACCCUUGGAAUCUGCACAGGGAUGAGAGAAUGUUUGCACGCCACGAAACGACUGGUGGUGGCUGGGGCACGUAG